AUUGAACGCUGGCGGCAGGCCUAACACAUGCAAGUCGAACGAGUGGCGGACGGGUGAGUAAUGUCUGGGAAACUGCCUGAUGGAGGGGGAUAACUACUGGAAACGGUAGCUAAUACCGCAUACCAUCGGAUGUGCCCAGAUGGGAUUAGCUAGUAGGGGGGGUAACGGCUCACCUGGGCGACGAUCCCUAGCUGGUCUGAGAGGAUGACCAGCCAAACUGGAACGGAGAAACGGCCCAGACCCCUACGGGGGGCAGCAGGGGGGAAUAUUGAACAAUGGGGGCAAGCCUGAUGCAGCCAUGCGGGGUGUAUGAAGAAGGCCUUCGGGUUGUAAAGUACUUUGAUCGGGGAGGCGUUACCCGCAGAAGAAGCACCGGCUACUUCCGUGCCAGCAGCCGCGGUAAUC
rnacentral:rRNA from 1 species